rnacentral:rRNA from 1 species
GGGGCUAAACCAUGCACCGAAGCUGCGGCAGCGACACUAUGUGUUGUUGGGUAGGGGAGCGUUCUGUAAGCCUGCGAAGGUGUGCUGUGAGGCAUGCUGGAGGUAUCAGAAGUGCGAAUGCUGACAUAAGUAACGAUAAAGCGGGUGAAAAGCCCGCUCGCCGGAAGACCAAGGGUUCCUGUCCAACGUUAAUCGGGGCAGGGUGAGUCGACCCCUAAGGCGAGGCCGAAAGGCGUAGUCGAUGGGAAACAGGUUAAUAUUCCUGUACUUGGUGUUACUGCGAAGGGGGGACGGAGAAGGCUAUGUUAGCCGGGCGACGGUUGUCCCGGUUUAAGCAUGUAGGCUGGUUAUCCAGGCAAAUCCGGAUAAUCAAGGCUGAGGUGUGAUGACGAGGCACUACGGUGCUGAAGUAACAAAUGCCCUGCUUCCAGGAAAAGCCUCUAAGCAUCAGGUAACAUCAAAUCGUACCCCAAACCGACACAGGUGGUCAGGUAGAGAAUACCAAGGCGCUUGAGAGAACUCGGGUGAAGGAACUAGGCAAAAUGGUGCCGUAACUUCGGGAGAAGGCACGCUGGUGUGUAGGUGAAGUCCCUGCGGAUGGAGCUGAGACCAGUCGAAGAUACCAGCUGGCUGCAACUGUUUAUUAAAAACACAGCACUGUGCAAACACGAAAGUGGACGUAUACGGUGUGACGCCUGCCCGGUGCCGGAAGGUUAAUUGAUGGGGUUAUCCGUAAGGAGAAGCUCUUGAUCGAAGCCCCGGUAAACGGCGG